GCGGUACUGGUCGCUGCGCAUGGGCCGCACGCGGGACAGGCAGGCGUAGCUGCAGACGUGGGGGAGGUAGAAGAGCUUCUCCAGCGGCGCGCGGUACGACGGCUCGUUGGGCACGCGGUCCAUCAUGCCGUGGAAGGGCUGCGCCGGCCCGCCGGGGAAGCGAUGCUGCUGGGCUGCAGCUGCCCUUCCUGCCGGAGGUGCAUCGCUCAGCACAGGCGGUGAAGGCGACGACUGCCCCGAGCCGGGACGGAAGGAUGUGCUCUUCUUGGCCACCUGCUUCCUCGACUGGGCCAGCAGACUGUCAGAGCACUCCAUCUCGGUGGGCUGCGGAGAAGAGGGCUGUGCUGCCAGGGAGGCCGCCUGCAUCUGCUCCAGGGGUUUGUACUGCGUUCCAGCUCCGGUCAGAUCCUGUGUGUACUGGACCACGGGGCCUUUGCUCCGCACGGCGCCUUGGGGGAGGAAUCAAAGAGCUCAGUAUCGACACAGAGCCCUUACAACAGCC
rnacentral:lncRNA from 1 species